AACGCUGGCGGCGUGCCUAAUACAUGCAAGUCGAGCGAGCGGAACUAACAGAUUUACUUCGGUAAUGACGUUAGGAAAGCGAGCGGCGGAUGGGUGAGUAACACGUGGGUAACCUGCCCAAGAGAUCGGGAUAACACCUGGAAACAGAUGCUAAUACCGGAUAACAACAGAUGAUGCCUAUCAACUGUUUAAAAGAUGGUUCUGCUAUCACUCUUGGAUGGACCUGCGGUGCAUUAGCUAGUUGGUAGGGUAACGGCCUACCAAGGCGAUGAUGCAUAGCCGAGUUGAGAGACUGAUCGGCCACAUUGGGACUGAGACACGGCCCAAACUCCUACGGGAGGCAGCAGUAGGGAAUCUUCCACAAUGGACGCAAGUCUGAUGGAGCAACGCCGCGUGAGUGAAGAAGGGUUUCGGCUCGUAAAGCUCUGUUGUUGGUGAAGAAGGACAGGGGUAGUAACUGACCUUUGUUCGACGGUAAUCAAUUAGAAAGUCACGGCUAACUACGUGCCAGCAGCCGCGGUAAUACGUAGGUGGCAAGCGUUGUCCGGAUUUAUUGGGCGUAAAGCGAGUGCAGGCGGCUCGAUAAGUCUGAUGUGAAAGCCUUCGGCUCAACCGGAGAAUUGCAUCAGAAACUGUCGAGCUUGAGUACAGAAGAGGAGAGUGGAACUCCAUGUGUAGCGGUGGAAUGCGUAGAUAUAUGGAAGAACACCAGUGGCGAAAGGCGGCUCUCUGGUCUGCAACUGACGCUGAGGCUCGAAAGCAUGGGUAGCGAACAGGAUUAGAUACCCUGGUAGUCCAUGCCGUAAACGAUGAGUGCUAAGUGUUGGGAGGUUUCCGCCUCUCAGUGCUGCAGCUAACGCAUUAAGCACUCCGCCUGGGGAGUACGACCGCAAGGUUGAAACUCAAAGGAAUUGACGGGGGCCCGCACAAGCGGUGGAGCAUGUGGUUUAAUUCGAAGCAACGCGAAGAACCUUACCAGGUCUUGACAUCUAGUGUCAUUUGUAGAGAUACAAAGUUCCCUUCGGGGACGCUAAGACAGGUGGUGCAUGGCUGUCGUCAGCUCGUGUCGUGAGAUGUUGGGUCAAGUCCCGCAACGAGCGCAACCCUUGUUAUUAGUUGCCAGCAUUAAGUUGGGCACUCUAAUGAGACUGCCGGUGACAAACCGGAGGAAGGUGGGGAUGACGUCAAGUCAUCAUGCCCCUUAUGACCUGGGCUACACACGUGCUACAAUGGGCAGUACAACGAGAAGCGAGCCUGCGAAGGCAAGCGAAUCUCUGAAAGCUGUUCUCAGUUCGGACUGCAGUCUGCAACUCGACUGCACGAAGCUGGAAUCGCUAGUAAUCGCGGAUCAGCACGCCGCGGUGAAUACGUUCCCGGGCCUUGUACACACCGCCCGUCACACCAUGGGAGUCUGCAAUGCCCAAAGCCGGUGGCCUAACCUUCGGGAAGGAGCCGUCUAAGGCAGGGCAGAUGACUGGGGUGAAGU
rnacentral:rRNA from 1 species